rnacentral:lncRNA from 1 species
GCGGCGUUGGGGGAGGGCGGGAUGCUGGGGAGGCAGUGGGGGCGUGCUGUGGGGGCAUCCUGGGCGUGGGCCGGUCCACCGGGGGUUCAGCGGCCGCGGGUAGUGGGAACGGGGCUGGGCGACGGGGCACAGGCCACACGCAAGGAGAAGUGAGCUUGCUUGGCUGCGAAAGCAUGGGGCGGGGGGCAGCUGUGGAUGCUGCGCUGUUUGGGUUUUGCCUGACGUCAUUUUUCUUUCUGGUCCAGCGGCCUCCCGGAUGCUUGCGGCAGAAGGCGCUGGUGUACCCCUAUCAUGGGCAGGUCAGUUCUGAGCCCCGCGACCCGUGCCCUGUCGGAUCCAGAUGCUAACACCCCAACAAGCCUUUCCCCCAGAUCCCCCAGUUCUUAGCCAAUAAAAGAUCUGGGAUUGAAGCACCUACCCCUUAAACCCAGUCCCAGGGUCUGCCUCACCAGGGCGCCCUUGAAGUGGUGAAAUGUGUUGGUAGCUGGGCUUAACGCUCUUAUCCCCAGAGCGUUGAGAACCUGCUGUUGCCACCAUGGCCCUUUCCUCCCCAACAUGACAGCGUGUUCAUUUCUUUGUAGCAACCCCUUGGGAAGAGCUGAAGACCAGCCAGGGGAGAGGGAAAAAAAAAAAGCACAGAACACAUGCUGGUUCCAGAUUCCUGGCAAGAAUCAGAGCGCCUGUGCUGUGCUGAAAGCCGGCCCAAGCACAGAGCAGCAGAGGCCACUUGGAGCAGCUGCUGUCGACUUCCGCCUCGCUGGACAGCAUCCCUUCAGAUCCAUCUUUUCAAGAAACUGUGGCCAGGACACUGCUGAUCUGCUUGCUGUCAUCUCUCGUGUGGUUCUUGGGUGUCUCUUCAGAACAUGCUCCGAGGCUCCUCUUACGUUUCCCUGCAAAGAACCCUUGUAAGGGGGCUGCCUACACAUGGCCUGCAUCUCUCGUUUCUACCACUGAGUUAGGUAAGGCAUCCUCAAGCCCCACAGCUGAAAAACUUAUUCGUGUGUCCACUGCAAAGCCACCGACUGUCCACGAGGCCUGGCUCAGAGGCCUCCCUUGCAGAAGGGAGGUUCCGCCAGUGAUGAGCGGGCGCGUCCCGCUGGCAGAGAAAGCUCUGUCUGAAAGCUAUGCCCGGCUUCGAUACAGAGACACCUCCUUGCUCAUUUGGCAACAGCAGCAGCAGAAGUUGGAAUCUGUGCCACCUGGGACGUACCUGAGCCGGAGCCGAAGCAUGUGGUACUCUCAGUACGGGAACGAGGCCAUCCUUGUCCGGGACAGAAACAAGCUGGAGGUCUCCCGGGACACGGGCCAGUCCAAGUUUUGCUCUGUUAUGUAACUUCUGGUGUGAAAAGCGAGCCCAGGCGCCGCCCUGUCUCCACCUCCAGCCCUUGCCCGGAGGUCCUGGCUGUGAACGUGAAGGCUGAGCUGCAGCGGAAGGACCCCAGGAUGCCAGGGAUGGCGCCCCAGCCCAUUUGCAGUCGGGGUGACUGGUGGACUUGGCUUCUGGCCUCCAUUUUGAGCUUCCGGGCGCUGCGGGCACAGCCCAGGCUGGGGCACGACGGGAUGCCACUCUGCUUAUGCUUCCAAAUAAAGCAAGCAAGAGGGACGUCCA